ACUUGGCCGGCAAAAUGAAAUUAAAACAUAUCUAAUUAACUCUAAAAAUACUUAAAGUUGAGCGCAAAACCAAAUCCCAUAACCCAAAACCAUAUUUAAAUAGAAACUCUAAUUAGGCAAACCCAACUGCUCGUAUGAUCGUAUUUCUAGGGUUUUACUCAAAACAAACCCCAAAAUCAAUCUCCCAUUCCCGCAAAACCAAAACCAAAACCGCGCACCACUACCGAUCUCCGUCGCCGUACCGCCGUCCUGCAAUACCUCUGCCGCUCCUUUUCAAUAUCCGGUGAACGCCGAUCGACUCCCCAGCUCUCCGAAUUUCAAGGUUGGUAUCCUUAAUUUUGUUCUGCAUAUUUACCCUUCAACUAAUAACACUAGGGAUUAUGAAUAUUGUUAAUAAUCAAAUUGCAAUGUCUAAGUAUGGAAUUAUUGGUGUAAACUCUUUAUACGUAUGUGGAAGAGACUUCCAUUCAAGUUUAAGGUCGAAUCAUUGAUGCUCGAUUUAUAAUUAAGCCGAACAAUUCAUGAAUUUUUGCCGAAUAAAUCUGAUGAACUAAGUCCUAUUAAACUGAUUUUUUAAAGUUUAUAUGAUUUUAGUCGAAUUGUAUUGAAAUUUCCUGUUAAAGAAAGAAAGAGGGGGAAAAGUAAUCUUAUAGUUUGGGAGAUAAGUCAUGAUUGAUAGGAACUUAGGAAGGGAGUAAGAUAGAGAAAUAAAGAGUGUGGAAGCUAGGGAGACCGAAGUAAGUGAAACAAUUUCCAAUUUUGUUUUUGUGGGAGAUCAUCUGAUGUUUUGAACUGCCAUAGUCUACAGCAUUGAGAUUUGAGCCUCCUGCUAACUGUGAUCUUCGCAAAAAGGAUACAAUUCUAAACUGCAGGCGAUCUGAUGCAAAAGCUCUUACCAUUUCAAGUGCUGCAAAACUGGAAAACAACUCAUGGGUUCUAAAUUGCAUUGCUGGACACAAAGUGCAAGAUCUUAUUUUAAUAAAACUUCCACGUAUUUUCAAAAUACGAUUGACGAGCUAAAGGAGAGGGGGAUCUCAUACUUUACCGGAUAUCACCAACCAAAUGACGAUGAAGAUGGCAAAGAUAAUGAUGAUGAUCUAGUGUGACUUAAGCUAGCUCAAGGAGAUGCAUGGUCACCUCGGUUCACUCCUGCAGACGAACUGCCAAGUCUACCACCAGUAGACGAUUACAGUUGCUGUUGCUACAGAAUACCAGUUGCUGCUGCUACAGUAGCUCCAGUGGCUGCUGCAGAGAAAGGUCUUUGAUUUUUUUUAUUUUUUUUGUCAUACCUUGUAUGGAUCAUUUUGUCAUGAAUGAUAGGAUUUUGUUAUUGUAUGAACAAUUUUAUUUUGUUAUUGAAUGAAAUGAUUUUUGGAAA